GACGAACGCUGGCGGCGCGCCUAACACAUGCAAGUCGAACGGAGUUAUUUGAAAGCUUGCUUUUGGAUAACUGAGUGGCGGACGGGUGAGUAACGCGUGAGUAACCUGCCUUAAAGAGGGGGAUAACGUCUGGAAACGGACGCUAAUACCGCAUAACAUAUUGUUUUCGCAUGGAGAUGAUAUCAAAGGAGCAAUCCGCUUUAAGAUGGACUCGCGUCCAAUUAGCUGGUUGGUGAGGUAACGGCCCACCAAGGCGACGAUUGGUAGCCGGACUGAGAGGUUGAACGGCCACAUUGGGACUGAGACACGGCCCAGACUCCUACGGGAGGCAGCAGUGGGGGAUAUUGCACAAUGGGGGAAACCCUGAUGCAGCGAUGCCGCGUGGAGGAAGAAGGUUUUCGGAUUGUAAACUCCUGUCGUUAGGGACGAUAAUGACGGUACCUAACAAGGAAGCACCGGCUAACUACGUGCCAGCAGCCGCGGUAAAACGUAGGGUGCAAGCGUUGUCCGGAAUUACUGGGUGUAAAGGGAGCGCAGGCGGACCGGCAAGUUGGAAGUGAAAACUAUGGGCUUAACCCAUAAAUUGCUUUCAAAACUGCUGGCCUUGAGUAGUGCAGAGGUAGGUGGAAUUCCCGGUGUAGCGGUGGAAUGCGUAGAUAUCGGGAGGAACACCAGUGGCGAAGGCGACCUACUGGGCACCAACUGACGCUGAGGCUCGAAAGCAUGGGUAGCAAACAGG
rnacentral:rRNA from 1 species